GACGAAGGGGGGCUAGCGUUGUUCGGAAUUACUGGGCGUAAAGCGCGUGUAGGCGGUUUAUCCAAGUCAGGAUGUGAAAGGCCUUGAGCUCAACUCAAGAAAUGCACUUUGGUACUGGGUGACUAGAGGACCGGAGAGGAUAGUGGAAUUCCCAGUGAUAGUGGUGAAAUACGUAGAGAUUGGGAAGAACACCAGUGGCGAAGGCGGCUAUCUGGACGGUUUCUGACGCUAAGACGCGAAAGCGUGGGGAGCAAACAGGG
rnacentral:rRNA from 1 species